rfam:Alligator mississippiensis ScZkoYb_53, whole genome shotgun sequence.
GGGGGUAUAGCCCAGUGGUAGAGUAUUUGAGUGCAAAUCAAGAGGUCCCUAGUCCAAACUUAGGUGUCCCUU